rnacentral:rRNA from 1 species
GAUGAACGCUGGCGGCGUGCCUAAUACAUGCAAGUCGAGCGAACAGACGAGGAGCUUGCUCCUCUGACGUUAGCGGCGGACGGGUGAGUAACACGUGGAUAACCUACCUAUAAGACUGGGAUAACUUCGGGAAACCGGAGCUAAUACCGGAUAAUAUAUUGAACCGCAUGGUUCAAUAGUGAAAGACGGUUUUGCUGUCACUUAUAGAUGGAUCCGCGCUGCAUUAGCUAGUUGGUAAGGUAAUGGCUUACCAAGGCGACGAUGCGUAGCCGACCUGAGAGGGUGAUCGGCCACACUGGAACUGAGACACGGUCCAGACUCCUACGGGAGGCAGCAGUAGGGAAUCUUCCGCAAUGGGCGAAAGCCUGACGGAGCAACGCCGCGUGAGUGAUGAAGGUCUUCGGAUCGUAAAACUCUGUUAUUAGGGAAGAACAAAUGUGUAAGUAACUAUGCACGUCUUGACGGUACCUAAUCAGAAAGCCACGGCUAACUACGUG